AUGUUAGAUGAAUUAUUGAUUGGGUAGCUGAUAAAAGAGUUUCUUCUUUGCACAUAAUAAGCGUGUGAGGCAUUUGCUACACUUUCAAUGAUAUAACAGAUAGUUACGUGCAGGUGCUCGCCAGUCAACGUGAACAAUCUGUUCGAUGACAGUAAACCGAGGUUUCAUGUGCUCUUGGACAAAAACCUACAGUUUUCGUUGAAAAUACCAAUCAAGCUGGAAGAUUCUUUCACUGAAAGAUAGCUCAAACGUCUUAUGGCCGUUCCCAAUAUACUAUCUACAGAUAGAGAUAAAUUACUACCUUCUACUGUCAGUAAUUAGCUGUCCCAAUAUACCCGAUAAGUCAUUCUGAUCGCCUUAUAUUUGGACGCGUGAAUUGAAAUUUCCAUACAAACUUCUAUCGCUGGUAAGCUAUAGGUACAUCGUCCCAUUGACGGACAGCGUGUACGGAUAAGGUGAGUUACCGACGAUAAGUUUAUUGGGACAGAAAAGGUCACGGUAGUUAAUAUUUUUUAUCUCAAGUAAGAGAUAGACUGAAUAUUGGGAACGGCCGCUAAUGAAUUUAACAUAAUAAUGAACUAUGUUCACAUGCAAAAACUUAAAUAAUAAUUUUGCGAGCAGAUACGAUUCAAUAUCCUCAUUGAAUUCAUAAAAAAAAUAUAUCUUAAAAUGCAUUUAUUAUAUUUUACAGUUUCCAAUGACCAAAGUUGUAUUGCUAGCUGUUAUAUGUGACUCGUGUUUUGGAAUAGAAUAUUAUAAAGUCAAUGAACAAUAUGAUAUAGACGAAUUGAUAAGAAAUAAAGCCAAGUUCGACGCCAAAACCGAAUGUUUUUUGGAUAUUGGACCGUGCAACGAUGAAUUUCUGAGUUAUAAAGCUAUAUUACAAAGUUCAAUAGAAGAAGCAUGUGAAAGGUGCACCCCUGGAGUGAAGCGUUUGGCUAAUGGUUAUAUGCAGGCUCUGGAGAAAAACAAUCCCAAAUAUUAUGGAGACUUCCUCAAGAAGUACGAUCCCGAUGGCAAAUACAUGGACAAAUUCCUAAAAGCUAUUGCAGAUUUCUGAGGCGCUGCUAAUGUACAACCAUUGAAAUAAAACUUAUAAUUACCAAUAAAACUUCUAUUUAACCACA